UACUCUCUGCGUUUACUCAGCAGACUGAUCACAGUAUUGUGUUCUUAGUCCAAGUUAUCCAACUCGGCCUCAGUGUUCUAGAGCUUCAUGAAUAAUGUAGACUUUUUUGCACAAGUUCGUCAUAGUCAGUGACAUUUUGAUAUCCUCCAAGAACCUGAUAGAGCUUCACCAGCUUGUCACACAGGUCCUCUAAUGAUCCAGCUUUACCUACAGCUUGAGAAAUGCAAGUUCCAUCACUCCUUCGUUCAGUUCCUAGCUGUGGUCACCGUAUUCUUCAAAACUUCCCCUUGAGUGUUUGAUCAGUUUGGAAUGACACAAGGGCACCACAGACAUCUAACGCCUUCUGAGAAGAUCAAUGAGAACAUUAGAAAGAUUCUGUUCAAAAAGAUGAGCCUUCAAGAAAGUCACAGGAGUUUCCUCGGUCUGGCUGCAGAAGAAUAUGGUUUGAUUGCUCUUUACAUGAGAAUUUGUAUGUUUAGUGGAUUAAUGGAGUGAUUAAAUGCUAUGAUGUGCAUACUGUAGGUUUGUAAAUUGUGUACCUACACCGAAUGUAUGAUUAUAUUAUGUUAUUUUAUAUGAAACGGUUAGUUCCAUUCUUGGAAUCUGAUUGGUCAGCAGCUGUGUUUUAUUCACGAUACAGCACAGCUAGGACUGCUUCACCCAAUGGUUUGUGUAUCACUGGGCAACACCUUUAGCAACCACCAUUAGAAACAUAAACAAUCAAUAAUACAUCAUUUAAAUUGUUCCAUGUAUUAUGUAUUUUGGCCCCUGCUGGCGUUAUGCUGCAUCUUUUAUCUUUGAUUUUGA